rnacentral:lncRNA from 1 species
AAAGGGCGAGCUUGAAUGGGGGUGAGCUGUUGGUGGAGGAAGCUCAGGUCUUUUCCAGCAGCCUUGGCUGCGGUGUCUGCAGGGACAUGGUUCAGAAACCAUGUUGCUGAGGGCACAUGCUGGGUCAUGGUUCCUUGCUCCACUCUGGGUCAGGCUAAAGCCUGUGCUGACUCUCCCCCAGGCCAGCCUGCACUGGAUGGCUUACUGUGGGCUGAGGCUCAGUAGAGGCACAGACCUGGCCACCUGCUUUACCAGGAUGGCUCAGACUGGCUGCUAUUCCCUGGGUGUGACAGCGUUGGUGAGUCCUCCUAGAGGGACCAUCCUAGAGGUCCCAUUUCUCCCCACCUUGGGCCUUCCACCCUGUCCCCACUGACCCUCCCAAGCCCCAAACUCAUACCUGCGUGUUAGAAAGUAUCUCCCUAAGUUGUACUCCCCAAAGCCCAGCUCGGGGCAUCCCCAGGCAUAGAGAGGAGAUGACAGGGAGAAGAGUAGGGAGUUGGGCUGGGAGUGGGAAUGCAGUGUGGAUCCCUGCCCUACAGUGGCCCCCUCCUCCCUGCCAUCUUCCUGCCCAGGUAGUACAGAGGCAGAAACUUACCCUCCAGGUUCAUCGGUCUGGAGGAACUGGUUCAGGACAGUGGGCAUGGAAAGGGACUGGGAAGGCCCCCUGAGUUUAGGUAAAAUGAGCUUGUGUAAGUAUGGAAAAGCUUUCUACUUGUUCCCCUUAUCUCUCUUUAGCUGGGCACAAGGCCAUGUGGAACAAAGGACUACAUUUCCCAGCCUCCCUUGUGGCUGAGUGUGGCCAUGUGACCCAGUUCUAUCCAACAGGAUGAGAAUGAUGAGCAUAACUUUCCCUCUCUUCCCUCUUCUGGCUGGCUGGAUGGAGGACUCUGAAACAAGCAUUCCGAGAACUGGGUUUUUGACCCCAUGGAGCUGCCACACCAGCUUUGGACCAUUUAUGCUGGGGCUCUUAGGAGGAAGAGAGACACACCUUUAUCUUGAUUAAGCCAUCCUGGGUCUCUGUGUCAACAGCCCAAUUUAGGUACUCCCUAAUGUACCCAGUGAUCUGCUGGGUCGCUUUCAAUGACCUGAUGCCACCUGCAAAUGUUUGCAUCUAAACUCUCAAUGUUUGCCAAAGUGAUUUAAUAAACAACUGUACAGUGCCA